GGUGUUAUCUCCUAUGCUCGCUCGCACUCUCCAGGUAUAACUCCCUUACUCCCUUAGGCAUUCGCACUCCAGGGAAGGGGUGGACUUUUUUUUUUCUAGUUCGCAAGGCUCUCGCUCUCUCUCUCUCUCUCUCUCUCCCGGUUUUCCUCCUGUUCAAUCUAUCCAGAGAAGCGAAAGCCCCCCUCCUCUCCGCCGUUUUUGGUUCGCAGAUCCAAGGAGAAAGUCGAAGCCCCUCUAUGCGGAGUCCUCUGUUUGCCUCCCCCGAUCGCGAGAAGACGGAAGUCCCCUCUCUCCCUGUCCGAGACUUGAGGCCGGAGGCCUCCUCCCUCGCUCGCUCUUGGCUUCGUGCACUGGGACCGAACCCGACGCCUUCGACUUGCUCUAGCCGCUGGACUCGCAAGGUGAUUUCUUUCCCUCUCUUUCUUUCUUUACCUCUAUUUCUGCUUCUUCCCACGUUUCUUCCAUCUUCUUCUACUUCUCUUCCUCUUGUUCUUUUUCUUCAUUCCUUUCUUCUUCCUCUUCUCCUAACUUCUUCCCCUUCCUCUUCUCCCAACUUCUUACCCUUCCCCCUUUCUUUCCUUUUUUCUUUUUCUUUCAUGAAAAUCCUGAUUGUAAAACGGUUAGAAAAAAAUUCUUUGAAAACAGAUUAAGUGCUGGUCCCUAUUUCUAUUAUUGCUAAGAUGACAAAGUGUUUUGAAUUGAAAUGUGGUAAAGAUUGAGAGAUUCAAAAUGGGAAAUGACUCAACCGGUAUCCAAGCCCGAAAAAAUGUACGUUAGUAUUUUAAUUGUGUUUUAUUUUAAUUAAUUUAUAUUAAUUAUUAUCGUGCUCUAAUACAACCUUUUUUUUUGCUUUUCUAUAAUUUUUGCGAGGAAACGCUAGGGAGUGAAAGGUAAGGAUCCUUUGGAGUUGCUGUGAUGAAGGAGUCUACAUAAACAAAUCAAUCGCCUCCAUUCAUUACGGUGGGAGUGCUACGGGUGGAACCACUGGGUCAUAGCCCUCGGUGUAGUAAGUUCUCUUAAAACUUAGAUAGCCCUUAGGAUCCUUUUGUGUUUACGCUUCCUACCCUUUCGGGCUUUGUAGCAACUUCAAUUUUAUUAGGAUCUUUUUAUUUCUUUUAGAUCCCUAAACCCAUUUACACACAUGUAUAUGUCCGAAGGGUUAGAAAUAAUAUUUUUCUUUCAUAUAACACUAGUGACACAUAAGGGCAAGAAUUAAAGACUAAGUCUUAGAUAACAUAGACUUAGGAUAGUUGUUCCUUUUAGGAUAUAGACAUUAAAACAUAGAGAACUUAGUGACACAUUUUUAUAGGAUUAGUAUGCCAUGAUUCAUUAAUUAUUAAU